rnacentral:rRNA from 1 species
GACGAACGCUGGCGGCGUGCUUAACACAUGCAAGUCGAACGGUGACGAGGAGCUUGCUCCUCUGAUCAGUGGCGAACGGGUGAGUAACACGUGAGCAACCUGCCCCAGACUCUGGGAUAACAGUUGGAAACAGCUGCUAAUACCGGAUACGAGACGGAGAGGCAUCUCUACCGUCUGGAAAGUUUUUCGGUCUGGGAUGGACUCGCGGCCUAUCAGCUAGUUGGUGAGGUAAUGGCUCACCAAGGCGACGACGGGUAGCCGGCCUGAGAGGGCGACCGGCCACACUGGGACUGAGACACGGCCCAGACUCCUACGGGAGGCAGCAGUGGGGAAUAUUGCACAAUGGGCGAAAGCCUGAUGCAGCGACGCCGCGUGAGGGAUGACGGCCUCGGU